rnacentral:rRNA from 1 species
AUUGAACGCUGGCGGCAUGCCUUACACAUGCAAGUCGAACGGUAACAGGUCUUCGGAUGCUGACGAGUGGCGAACGGGUGAGUAAUACAUCGGAACGUGCCUAGUAGUGGGGGAUAACUACUCGAAAGAGUGGCUAAUACCGCAUGAGAUCUACGGAUGAAAGCAGGGGAUCGCAAGACCUUGUGCUACUAGCGCGGCCGAUGGCAGAUUAGGUAGUUGGUGGGAUAAAAGCUUACAAAGCCGACGAUCUGUAGCUGGUCUGAGAGGACGAUCAGCCACAGUGGGACUGAGGCACGGCCCAGAAUCCUACGGGAGGCAGCAGUGGGGAAUUUUGGACAAUGGGCGAAAGCCUGAUCCAGCAAUGCCGCGUGCAGGAUAAAGGCCUUCGGGUUGUAAACUGCUUUUGUACGGAACGAAAAGCCCCGGGUUAAUACCCUGGGGUCAUGACGGUACCGUAAGAAUAAGCACCGGCUAACUACGUGCCAGCCGCCGCAGUAA